UAUUGGGCGUAAGGGCUCGCAGGCGGUUUCUUAAGUCUGAUGUGAAAGCCCCCGGCUCAACCGGGGAGGGUCAUUGGAAACUGGGGAACUUGAGUGCAGAAGAGGAGAGUGGAAUUCCACGUGUAGCGGUGAAAUGCGUAGAGAUGUGGAGGAACACCAGUGGCGAAGGCGACUCUCUGGUCUGUAACUGACGCUGAGGAGCGAAAGCGUGGGGAGCGAACAGGAUUAGAUACCCUGGUAGUCCACGCCGUAAACGAUGAGUGCUAAGUGUUAGGGGGUUUCCGCCCCUUAGUGCUGCAGCUAACGCAUUAAGCACUCCGCCUGGGGAGUACGGUCGCAAGACUGAAACUCAAAGGAAUUGAC
rnacentral:rRNA from 1 species